CUUGCUCCUAGAGGCAUUGCAGGCAUGGCUGCUGUGUCACAUGUGUCAGUAGGUGACAGAGAGGAGAGAGGUUAUGUCUACCAUCAGUGUUCUGACCUGUAAAUAGAAUGAACCUUAACAUUCCCUG